AGUGAACGCUGGCGGUAGGCCUAACACAUGCAAGUCGAACGGCAGCACAGUAAGAGCUUGCUCUUACGGGUGGCGAGUGGCGGACGGGUGAGGAAUACAUCGGAAUCUACUUUUUCGUGGGGGAUAAUGUAGGGAAACUUACGCUAAUACCGCAUACGACCUACGGGUGAAAGCAGGGGAUCUUCGGACCUUGCGCGAUUGAAUGAGCCGAUGUCGGAUUAGCUAGUUGGCGGGGUAAAGGCCCACCAAGGCGACGAUCCGUAGCUGGUCUGAGAGGAUGAUCAGCCACACUGGAACUGAGACACGGCCCAGACUCCUACGGGAGGCGGCAGUGGGGAAUAUUGGACAAUGGGCGCAAGCCUGAUCCAGCCAUACCGCGUGGGUGAAGAAGGCCUUCGGGUUGUAAAGCCCUUUUGUUGGGAAAGAAAAGCAGCAGGUUAAUACCCCGCUGUUCUGACGGUACCCAAAGAAUAAGCACCGGCUAACUUCGUG
rnacentral:rRNA from 1 species